UUAAAAUUAGUUAAACAUUAUAACAUAGGCUUGUCAGUCCUAAAUUAUCAAUUUAUGAUAUUUUAAA
rnacentral:tRNA from 1 species